rnacentral:rRNA from 1 species
UACGAAGGGGGCGAGCGUUGUUCGGAAUUACUGGGCGUAAAGGGCGCGCAGGCGGCCUUAGAAGUCAGAUGUGAAAGCCCCGGGCUCAACCUGGGAAUGGCAUUUGAUACUCUGAGGCUGGAGUACGGGAGAGGAGAGUGGAAUUCCCAGUGUAGAGGUGAAAUUCGUAGAUAUUGGGAAGAACACCGGUGGCGAAGGCGGCUCUCUGGACCGAUACUGACGCUGAGGCGCGAAAGCGUGGGGAGCAAACAGG